rnacentral:rRNA from 1 species
GCCUAAAGCGUCCGUAGCCGGCUCUGUUAGUUUUCGGUUAAAUCUAUAUGCUCAACAUAUAGGCUGCCGGGAAUACUACAAAGCUAGGGAGUGGGAGAGGUAGACGGUACUCCGUAGGAAGGGGUAAAAUCCUUUGAUCUAUGGAUGACCACCAGUGGCGAAGGCGGUCUACCAGAACACGUUCGACGGUGAGGGAUGAAAGCUGGGGGAGCAAACCGGAUUAGAUACCCGGGUAGUCCCAGCUGUAAACUAUGCAAACUCAGUGAUGCAUUGGCUUGUGGCCAGUGCAGUGCCGCAGAGAAGUCGUUAAGUUUGCCGCCUGGGAAGUACGUACGCAAGUAUGAAACUUAAAGGAAUUGGCGGGGGAGCACCACAAGGGGUGAAGCCUGCGGUUCAAUUGGAGUCAACGCCAGAAAUCUUACCCGGAGAGACAGCAGAAUGAAGGUCAAGCUGAAGACUUUACCAGACAAGCUGAGAAGUGGUGCAUGGCCGUCGCCAGCUCGUGCCGUGAGGUGUCCUGUUAAGUCAGGUAACGAGCGAGAUCCUUGCCUCUAGUUGCCACCAUUACUCUCAGGAGUAGUGGGGCGAAUUAGCGGGACUGCCGUAGUUAAUACGGAGGAAGGUGAGGGCCACGGCAGGUCAGUAUGCCCCGAA